rnacentral:rRNA from 1 species
CACACCGCCCGUCACACCAUGGGAGUUGGUAUUACCCGAAGACGGUGCGCUAACCGCAAGGAGGCAGCCGGCCACAGUAGGAUCAGCGACUGGGGUG